ensembl:lncRNA
UAUUUCAAAACAUGAAUCAAUUUAUUUACAUUAUAAUUGUAGAGCUAUAACUUUACAGAUAAAAAAAAGAAGAGUAUCCUGCUAAACAAAUGUACAAACCAUACAUUUUCAAUGUUGAACGCAUAAAAUGAAACGCAAAACUAUUGCUUCAAGAAAAUACGUAAGCUUUGAAUCCAACUCUCUAAACCACUAUCAAAUAUAAGUACCUAAAACGAAUUUGUAACAAGACAGCAAUAGAUAAAAAGAGCACAGGAAUGACAUCAACUUAGGUGACAUAUCAUACAACCAGGUGUGAGUGUGAUUGGCCCUUACAAGCCCUUUUGAAAAUCUGACAUCACUAGUGGGCGUGUCCACCUAGUGAUGUAAAUGUCCCCUUUAAAAGACAUCUCCCAAAAGAGUAUUUUCAUCUCAUUGUACGACAGAAUUCGAUUUGAUUUCCACCACAAAAGACUUGUUGUAACGUUUGAAACCUUGUGACCACUUUGCCCGCGUGGAAACAAAACCAUUUGUUCAGUCAAACAUUAAAAAUAACAGAUAUUUUAAAAAAGUACCUCAAUUCAUUAUGUCAAAGAACAGAUAUUUGUAAAACGAUCUGGCUGUUACACUUGUAUACAGUAUAACCAGAAACUAUAAUCAGAAUCUGGAAUAUGCUUCAGCUGACCAAAACAUAGAGCAAAUGAUAAGUUUGGACUGGUUUGUGUGCAGGUAGUAAGAGUUCAAGAGAUUUGACAAAGACCCUUUAAAGUAAAAAGAUUUUCAGAAAACAAUACAUGGAAUCAAAGCUGUCAAACAACCAUAGCCAAUACAUGGAUCAGAAAGCAGAACUCUCUUUAUUUUAACACUAUAUACAAUUUCAAAGGACCUUUUGUUAAGAAGAGGGUAAAACAAAUUGUUCUUUAGAGGUCAAUAUUGAGAUGAUUUAAUCAGUAGCGUGCGGUGACCCUAAAUUUCAGUGGGGCAGAAACUACUGGCGUAUGUCCACACCCAAAAUUUGUUUUUGUAAUAUGGAUAUAUUAUAUACAUACAUAAUAUUGUAUUAUAUAUAUAUGCUUCACAUCACUCACAUCCGUGGUUCAUAUAUCCCCCUGUCUUGUUCACACACUUGCUCAAAAAAGUAGACAUGGGAAACAAAACAGUGUUUCUCUUUGAGCAACCACAUAGACAUUAUUUCUUUUCAUGCCAUGCUCGGGAGAAAAUUAUGUUGUAAGUUUUCCCCCUAUCCUUCGUUGGUUGGAUAAUGUUUAGGUCCGUCUGGGCCAAGUUGUUUGAUUUCUAACUUCUUUCAAUUUUAACCUCUGAAAUGUUUUUAACAGAAUCUCAACACUGUUAAUCACUGGUGCAAAACCACUCGCCAUAUCUGCAUCUGAUAUGGAAACGAUGAAAGAUACGCGUGGAAUAAUUUGAGGUCAAACAACAACAGUUCUAGAAUAUGACCGCGGGGUCUGCUUUACGACCAUUUAGGCGUCUUAUAACGCGGAUUGCAAUUCUUUUUGCAGCCUGCAGGGAUGAGCGAUAAACAUACGGAGGAACGUGGUCACCGAGCUGCCCUGCCCCAACAUGGCCCACCAUCAUCCAAAUUUUUAUGUCAAGAGACCAAAAAUAGUUGGAAAGCGUACAGAAACUAUAGAUAGUUAGUCGGAAAAUCAAAUUAUUAAAAAUAAACUUGGAGCAAUGAUUUACUGAGGAACUAUUUUGUUGGGAGAAUGCUCUGAGUUCUCUGCCCCACCUGCCCACACGGACGGCAUGCGCCUGGAUUAAUACAGAAGGAACUGUUGGACGCAGUUAAGACGAGACGUAUCAGCUCGUUCAACCAAUUAGAAACACAAAUAAAUUAAAAGAAAGACAACCAAGCAGGCGUCUUAUCAUAGAAUAAAGACAAAAAAAAAAAGAGCAGAGAGAAAUUAUAAUAAAUACAGGAAUAAAGAUCAUUCAUGACACGAGCACAGCAGUAAAUGGUCCCAAUAAAAGUCUUGACAUCGCAAAAUAAGUAAAACAAGAAAACACUGAACACUGCAGAAGCAGAUAGCAGCAAGUAAAGAAAGAAUAGAACAUGGACGGAUGGACCGGUGAGCCAAGACCAGUGAAUGGAUCCAGAAACCAGUGGCCUCGGUAAUGACCAGUAUACACACACACAAACCAGUGGCCUCGGUAAUGACCAGUAUACACACACACAAACCAGUGGCCUCGGUAAUGACCAGUAUACACACACACAAACCAGUGGCCUCGGUAAUGACCAGUAUACACACACACAAACCAGUGGCCUCGGUAAUGACCAGUAUACACACACACAAACCAGUGGCCUCGGUAAUGACCAGUAUACACACACACAAACCAGUGGCCUCGGUAAUGACCAGUAUGGACAGACAUAAAGAUGGCCUAGUUACUCUUUGUUCAAAAUUGCACCCUGAGCUCCUGAUGGUAUUCCGAUCAGGAGCUGAUGGUAUUCCCAUAUUCCCCCCCCCCCGAUACCUGAGACGUUCGGGGCCCGCUUGGGGCCCUCUGGACACCAACAGCGUUACGCUACAUCACAGCGUAUUGAUCGAUCACUGAGCCGACCAACACGCUGAAUCGUAGCGUAUUGGUCGAUCACUGAGCCGAUCAAUACGCUGCAUCGUAGCGUAUUGAUCGAUCACUGAGCCGAUCAAUACGCUGCAUCGUAGCGAGACUCACUGCUCACCUCUGAUGUCAUCGAUCCUGAACCUCCGAACGGCCGAUGGAUCUCAGCUACACCGCCGUUUGCUCCACGUCCGUCACGGGGGUCUCACACUCGUCGGCGGUGGGGACGGCCUGGAAGCCGGGUGGCGUGGACGAAGCCCAGGGGGACCGGCAUCAUGGCGAAGAGGAUGAGCAGGGAGAGCAGCGCCAGGGCCCAGUCCGGGUACUGCAGCCUCUCCUCAGACGCCUGCAGAGAGUAGAGGCUCAACACACCGGACCGCCACCUCCGCCACCUCCACCACCUCCUCCACCUUCACCUCCACCUCCACUCAACAGAUCAG